AGUUCAGCGCCAUACGGCAAUGGCGAACGGUGUUAAUCGUUUUUAUCACCGAGACCUCGAUUAUUCGCAAUAUUUAACGCCGGCUAUUCGUGCAAAGCGACACGAGUGUGCGCGUUCAACGAUUCACGUGUACCCGCGAAAGCAAUUCUAACCUCAACAAAAAAGAACGCGAGAAGACACGAGAAUCGUUUCGAUCGGCUUCCCGGAUGAUCUACCAGUGAGAGCCAACAUGGCGUCGACCGAUCUGUCGUUCGGCUCGAUACCAGCCUUCUACAGAGAGGUCUACGAGAAGAUUUGUUCGCCUACAGGUGGAAACGUCGAACGAGAAGUUUUUAAAUCCCUUCUCGUCAAGUCUCAGCUGAGCAGCUCGGUUCUCAGUCAGAUAUGGGAACUCGUGGACAGCAAGACGGGUUAUCUCACGAGGAGUGGAUUGUACAAGGGCCUUGCCCUCGUCGCCUUUGCUCAACAAGGAAAGCAACCAAGCGACAAGCUUCUGGAAAACUCCGAAUCUCAAGAAUUACCCGUUCCCGUUCUCGGUGAUUUAUCGGAGGUGACGCUAUUAGCUCAAAGACUGCACAGAGGUAACAAUCCUGCGAAACUGAAUCUCACCUACACCGACAUAUGCAAUUUAGACACGAUAGAGGUCAACUUGGUACCCGAGAAGAAAGGUAUCUUUUUAAAACACGUGGAAUAUCAAGUUACAAGCAAGCGAUUUAGCUCCGUAGUUUACAGACGAUACAACGAUUUUGUGUCACUGCACGAACUACUUUUAGCGAGGUUUCCUUAUCGAUUGAUACCGAAAUUACCACCAAAAAAGAUCGUAGGAGCCGAUUCUCAAUUUCUGGAAGAACGAAGACGAUCUCUUCUGAGGUUUCUAACUUUGAUCGCUCGUCAUCCUAUAGUGAACAAGGAUCCGAUCGUACAUUUCUUCUUCACUUACACCGGCGAGGAGACUCAGCAUAAAAUACGCGAAGUUUUCCGACGAGUCCCAGACGAAUUUGCGACCUCGGAAUUAUCCUCCAGGGCAAAGGAAUUAGUACCACCAGAAACUCUUACCGAAUUUGCAAAUAGCAGAGAUCAAAUAAGAGUUAUAUUGUUAGGUAUAUCACGUUUGAAAAAUAUAGCAGACUGUCUGGCUAUCAGAUCUCAUAGUUACGCCGUUGACAUGGCUGAAUUGGGAACACAAUUGAACAAUUUGGCUUCCGAGCCACAUGGUGCUAGUUCUUGGGUCACCGGAGGUUCUACGAUCUGGCAGGAUAUGAAGAAAGGUUUUCAUGUUAUUUCAAAGGAAUUUAAUCUACUGUCCACGAGAGCACUACAACAGGCAGUUAGAGAAGAGACUAUGAUCUGCGAGAGACUGAACUUUUUGUUAGAUAUUCUUGUAGCUCAUAGAAUAUUAUGCGAAAGACACGAACGAGGUGUCAGUGCUGAUCAUCAACGUGCGUUAUCGACGAUGUUGUCUCUAAAAAAACGACAAAUGCAAGGGGUCAUUCGUGGAACGGACGCCGAUACAGUCGAGUACCUGGAAAAUAAAAUGGUCGCUCAAGAAUCCGUUAUUGCAAACGUCGAACUAAGGAAUUGUUUUUCGUUGCAUUGUUUGCACAUGGAAACUCAGCUUGUUCAUGCGCACUUGGAAAUACUCGCCACAGUUUUACAAAGUCUUGUAAGCGUGCAAAUAAGAGGACACUCCGAGGUAAGAAAUUUUAAAUGUAACGCUUAGCAAUUUUGUAUCAAUUGUUAUCAUAAUUAUUUUCUUUUUAUUUGCUAUGCAAUCCAAUGGAUUCGAGCUUGCCGAAGUGUGGAAGUUAAUAGAACCUACGAUUACAAAAUGCUUACCGGAAAAGUCAGCAAGCGGAUCAAACGGAGUGUCAUAGCAAACAAAGAACUUUUUAAUCGUUUCGUCCUUAGUGAUAUCAUUCGUACAAACGAUAGGUAACGAACAUGACUGAUAUAAAUUCAAGAUAGGUGGCAUAACGAAUCCCAGGAUAGGUGGAAUAACGAUUCCUGUUAACGAGGAAUCUCUUGGAAUUAUUUUCGUUCGCAAAAUAGAUAAUGAAUGCUCGAUCAAUUAUUAUUAUCCUACUUAAUAGGAUUUAGUAUUAAGAUUCCGAGAUUCAUCUUUUUUUAUAUAGUAGAGUCUCCUGUAUUUAAGCACACAUUAUCCGAACACUCUAAGUCUAUAUGACAGUGUCAACCAGUCCAGUGGUGACCAUUACAUUCAAGGCAACAUGUGACUAUUAUCAAAAAAACACGUACGAUUCCCUGGUUGCUAUGAGCAGUGAAAUAAAUACACGAGUUCGCACUUCAAGUAACUUUCUUGGAGACCAGAUACCGGUGAAUGUAGCUCUCAAAGGGUUUAAAACUUUAAAACAACUUCAGCUAGGGAAUACAGUUCAGGACAAAUUUAUUUUUCUUUUUUGAGAAUUCUAAAAUGUUCUCUUUCAAGUAACGAAGAACCAUCUCUAGUGGUAGUAGCAAGAAAAAGUUUAUACUUUCUAAUGUCUCUGAGAAAUUCUUUGAAAUUCCUUUUUUAAAUAUACAUGUAAUAAGGGAUGCAUGUAACAUAAUCUUCUUGAUAUCUAUUCAAUUCGAUGGUUGCUAUAAUACUGACAAAAAAAUCAUCAAUAUAUAUACAGCAAUAUGUAUACAGCUUAAUAUCUGAAUGUCUAUUAUCCAAACAGGAUAUCUCUUAGCAACAGAUACCUUCUUCUGUCGUAAAUAUAUCAAUAUGAUAUGCAUCAAUAUAUAUUUUCUUUUGUUCGACCGAACAAAUUCUGAUCGCAACAAUAUAGUAAAAGAAUACAGGCGUGGCUAUAGCAACUAAACGGAAACAAAUGAAACUUUGACAUAAGAAAAGUGAUUAUUCUAUUAUACGAACGCUUUUGUCUUCGAUUCGAUUCGAGAGACUCUACUGUAUUUCACUUUUUAAACAAUAGUCGCUCGCUUAUACGAUCUUAAUGGUAAAAGUGCCUUAAUGGAAAUAUUUCGAAUUUUUACCGGAAAAAAAUUAAGAUAGUCGUAUAUAAAUGGUUAGCAUAAGUUAUAUGUACAAAGUUCAAUGCACACAUCACGAAAGAAAAAGAAAAAAAAUGAAAAAAAAAAUCAUUUCCGUAUAAGAUAAGAGAAAGAAAGAGAGAAAGAGAAUAUAAUAUACGGGAGAAUUGUAUGUAUAGUCAAAGAAAUUUCUAAACAUUCCUUGUUAUGUACUUAAUAUAUUUUAUUAUAUAUAAAAUAAUAAUCGUGAUAUUUGUAAGCAAUUAGCGAUCUAUUGUAUAUAAAAAAAAAAAAUAAUUAAGAGUAUGUAAAAAUAUAAAAUGUAUCAUAGACGCGUUAGUGAAAAACAAAUGCAUGGCGUAUGAAAUCGUCAAAUUGUAAAUAUGAUUUUUCUUUUCUUUUUUUUUUCUUCCGUGCUGAACGAACAUUUUAUAUAUAUAUGUAUGUAUGUAUGUGUGUGUGUAUUUAUAUAUAUACACAUAUAUACAUAUAUAUAUAUAUGUUACAGAAUUGAAGAAACAAGAACGCCCUUUACUCGAUCUUGUGUCACCACGUUGAUCGUGGACAUUUGGGCAUUUUACACACUUUUAUACCAUAUUCGAUUUUACUAUGUAAGAUUAAUCAAAUAUAUUGUUAAUACAAAAAGUUAA